GUAGCGCACGGGUGCGUAACACGUAUGCAACCUACCUUUAACCGGGACAUAACCUCGAGAAAUUGAAGCUAAUAUCCCAUGUGAUUGAUUUAUGGCAUCAUAGAUUAAUUAAAAUUCAGAUGGUUAAAGAUGGGCAUGCGUCCCAUUAGCUAGUUGGUGAGGUAACGGCUCACCAAGGCCACGAUGGGUAGGGGUUCUGAGAGGAUGAUCCCCCACACUGGUACUGAGACACGGACCAGACUCCUACGGGAGGCAGCAGUAAGGAAUAUUGGUCAAUGGACGCAAGUCUGAACCAGCCAUGCCGCGUGCAGGAAGACGGCCCUAUGGGUUGUAAACUGCUUUUGUACGGGAAGAACUACAUUUACGUGUAAAUGUUUGACGGUACCGUAAGAAUAAGGAUCGGCUAACUCCGUGCCAGCAGCCGCGGUAAUACGGAGGAUCCGAGCGUUAUCCGGAUUUAUUGGGUUUAAAGGGUGCGCAGGCGGGUAUAUAAGUCAGAGGUGAAAUUCCACGGCUCAACUGUGGGACUGCCUUUGAUACUGCAUAUCUAGAGUAUAUUUGGAGUGGGCGGAAUGUAGCAUGUAGCGGUGAAAUGCUUAGAUAUGCUACAGAACACCGAUCGUGAAGACAGCUCACUAAACUAUAACUGACGCUCAGGCACGAAAGCGUGGGGAGCAAACAGGAUUAGAUACCCUGGUAGUCCACGCCGUAAACGAUGAUUACUCGCUGUUGGCGAUACACAGUCAGCGGCUAAGCGAAAGUGAUAAGUAAUCCACCUGGGGA
rnacentral:rRNA from 1 species